rnacentral:lncRNA from 1 species
UUGGGUGAUCUCCGAACCUGGCCAGGGGACGGCUCGUGGCCGUUCCAGAACACAUAGGUCUGGAUAACAUCCAAGCCGCCAUCUUUAGCCUUCUGGAUGAGAUCCGGCCACAUCUGGAGACGAUCCAAUCGACAAAGUUCAGGUUUUGACGCGGUAGAAUAACAGUGCACGAACAGCUCACCAAAAAGGCCACAUUUCCCACAGAAUUGGAGACCUUACCUCCGGGGUGCUCCUGGGAUAGUGAAUGGAACCGGAGAUUAGAAUCCUCCUCUGCCCAUUGACGAUGAUAGCCUUGUGGUCGUAGGAAACGGAGGCAUCGACCGGAGAGGAAUGCCACGGAGACGACACCACCACCAACGCCACCGCCAGUAGCAGCAGCGUCGACAGUCCGCGGCCGCACCCAAGCGUUAUAAGCUCGAGGCUCAUGGUGGCCGGUCGGUCUUACCUUCAGAGGAGUCUCCUUUAGUGUUCUGGAUGUAUAAUAUGUGAAUGAUGGAGAUUCGUGCGCGCUGUUCUUCCGUCUUCUCCUCCGCUAGAGAAGUUCCGACGGAACUAUUGAGCAGUAGCGUUACUGCAACAAGCACACACCGAGGAAGAGAGAGGGAGAUCAAAGAGGAGGGAGGGAAGAGGGCGGACGUGGAGUGGGAGCGCGGGGGCGGGGAGGACGGGGGAGGGCGAUGUGCCUCUUGCGGUAUAAAUACCCGACGGGCGCAAGCGAGCACAGGAUUGGCGCUGGAAUACGCGGGUCCCAAAGCGCCAGCCACGUCAACGUUUUCUUCCAUUCCCCCUGAACAGGAAAAAAUCAAAUGGACCGAAGCGUGGGGCCAUCUGCUUGUAAGAAAGUGGACCAAUUAAGAUAAAGCUUUGAUAGUUGGCAAGGAUCGACAGAGUCAAAAUAUUUUGUUAAAAUUAUUAUUUGAGAAAAUUAGGACAGAUAGGUUAUGUGGAAUAAUAUUAGAAACUAAUAAUAUUAGUUUAGUUUUGUAAGAAAAUUUUAUGUUGAUGAUAUUUUUUAGUUGUCUAAUAUAUCGAUAUACAUUAUGAUAGUAAGCGAGUUAGAUAACAUAUCCAUAACCAUGAUAUAAAUAUUUUUUUAUAAAAUUACAUAUACAUGAUAUACCUAAAGGGUUUGAUGAGAUAUAUCAUAUUAUUAUUUUAUUAUGUGAAUAACAAUUUUUUUAUAUGUUAAUUUAGUUUCACAUAAGAAAUGUAUAAAGAUUUAGAUAAGAGUAUGAUAAUUGUACCAUUCUUAUCGUGAGUUUAGAGGGAUUUAACUCAAAGUAUCUCUCUCAGACGAAGAUUAUAUAUGUGGCAGAUAAGGCUAAGCCAGAUAGGAGAGAAAGGUAUGUUUUUAAAUAAAUAAAGCUUUUUAAGCAAUGGAAUAUUGUCAAAAUUAAAAUAAUAUGAAUACUAUAUUUUUGAAAAGCAAAUAAAGUUUCUUGAGUUGUAAUGAUAUCCAUUUUAAGCAAAUAUAAUUGCUGCAUUAUAUUUUUAAUGUCGAUGCCAAUAUUUAUAGUCACUGAUUAAAACAUGCCACAUAUAAUAUUUUCUUUCAAUACCAGAAAGAUAUUUAUAGUAUGAAUGAAAGGAUAAAUUUAGCUGAAUAUGGAACAUGAUGAACCAUAUCAUAACCAAUCCUCAAUUGAACUAAAACUUAAUCCUUACAGAAAUAGUUUGUAAUCAUCCUAAACUGGUCUAAAUAGAUUUCUAUUUUAGAUUAAACUGGCCUAGACAGUGCCUGACCCAGUCUGAUCCUUGAUAAGUGGUCAAGCCAAGCUACUGAAAUGUUGACCUCUGUGUUUGUAACUCAUGAUGAAAUUCUAAGUGACAUUAACAGUUUCUUCUUUAUAGUUGAUAAAUCAUUGUCAUCUCUUUCUAAAAAUAAAAAUAAAAAAAGCUGGGAAUAAAAAUAUCUAUAACAAUGCCUUUUUCCUGGCACCAGAUUGUAUCUUUACCACUAAUUUCUUGUUUCUUGCACUGUUGCACAUGAUCAUCAUGCAUCUUGUUAGACAUCUCAAGUGGUUGCCACAUAGUUCAGAGCUCAGAAGCACAGCCACACAAUUGCAUCAGGAAUCAAAAUGCUUAUAAGCUUUGCAGAAGCAAUGGAAAAGGCAAAGGAUGAUAACUUAAUAUGGAUCAAAAUGCUUAUAAGCUUAAGUAGUACAGAAGCAAAAGCUUAGCUCUUGCAAUUACAAGACCGACCAACCAUUUUGUGUAAACAUGCUAUCCCAAUUGCUAAUAUUAUGUCCACACAUGGACUCAAUAUAUGCAGAAUCCCACGUGCAGUAAGUAAUAUGUUGAGUGCAUCCAAUAUUUUCUAUGCACAUUUACUCACGUAACCAGGCAAUACCUUAAAGUGGGUGUGCAGUUCCUGCAUCUCCACCAAUCACUACUCCACGACUUUGGUUUGUAUAAAUUGACUUUAGUUCAUUUUCUUUACUUGGUCUACCAUCUGUGGUUAUCAUCUGCAGAUGGUUUUGACAGCAAGCUUCUUCAUAGUGCUACUCUUUUCACCAUUGAAAUCCCAGUUGGAUCACCACCCCACUCUUCAAACACAACCAACAAGUUUCCAGUUGGGUUCAGCCAAGCGCGAGGAACAUGAUACCUGAGAUUUGAGGUCAGUAAUCAGUCAUUUAUUCGAUUUUUUCGCAAGCUUAAUGGGGUGGAAAAAAAGGCAGGUGUUUCAUUACCAUUUUUGAGAAGGCUCCCCACAAUUAGUCUGGCAUUUCUUCUCGUUGUAUGUCCCUCUGUAAUCGCACCAAUCACAAGAACCAUAUGCCUUAUAGGCAGGCCAGUAUCUGCCAAUGCUUUGUCCAUUGAUCCAUAUCUGACCUUUGCCCAUGCUACUCAUGUCUAAUGCCAAUGGCUCAUUCCCAGCUGGAGCAUUAAAGAAAGCCUGGAAGAUGAUAAAGAUUAAGUGACACAAUAGUCUCAAACAUGAGAGGAAGGAAGAUGAACUUUAGGAUAACAUGUUUCUGUGUUGCAAGCAGUACUGACCUUGUACCAAGUCAAGGGCUGCUUUGUUGAUGCACCUCCCCACUCAACUGAAGAACUGCCACUAAGUGUAUGGAUGCUCAGGGAUUCACCUCUCAGGCCGAUCUACACACACAAACAUGGAACUCAGUAACCAGUAAGCAAGUUUUAGUCAGAGACUAAUGUAGGUAGGAAGAGUUGAUUGGAACCUGGUAAAUCCAUUUCUGUGAUGAAAGGUCUCUCUUUCCUUCAUUGAGACCUUCCAGAGUCACUGGACCAAGAACACCAGCAUUCCAUGUCUCAAAGUGGUUGCCAACAUUCUGAAACAGAUCAGAGAACAGAAAUCUGAUGUCUCAACAGCCAUCUUGUGUGUAUAAUUGUACAGGGUUAUUUGUAUGAUAUUUCAACUUUUCGAUCAAUGGCCAGGAAAUAUUUCACAACAAAUUAUGUACUCACAGGAAGACCAACAGCGACACUUAGAAUCGAGAUUUUGUUGCUUCCUGCCCACAACUUCACAUUUUCUCUGAAAGUCAGCUUUGGAUUGUCCAAACUACCAGAGACAGUCCCUGCCAGAAGAAAAGAAAGCAAAAGCCAAAUCGGAACCUCACCAAAUGUUGAGCAUAUCAUCAAGAAUCAAUUCUCCACAAGGCAAAGCCACUCACCAGCCCGUUCUCCAUUGAUGAAAACAUGCAUAGAAUGGCCUGCCGACAUCACAGUCAGGAAAGGGUAUCGGCCAUUCUUCAAGAAUUGUUCAUUUGAGUCUAUGUUAACACUGAAGAGUGGAGAUUGUGAGUCAUUGAGUGAUAGAUGUCAUUGAUUCUGUCUCAAAUAGACAAGCUGCAAAGGAACGUCUACUCACUAUGAAGUGUACCACAGGUAGUCUGUCCGAUCCCUUGUCAUGCUUAUCUGCUCCACCAAUCCAUCUUUUGUGAAUGAGUUAUCCCCCAGUGAGUUGGUAUCCUCACUGAAGGACUCCCAAGAAAAUCCACCAACCCAAGUCAUUUUAAUCUGUGAUGUUGGAGCUCCUACCUGUGUAUAUCAUUAGUAACUUUGUGUUAAAGACACUGUCAUGAAAAUUCAACCAUGGAAAUCCUUUUUCAUCCGAGAAAAUUUGGAAUACAUAGUGAGUUAUACAUUUUCUUUAGCCAAGAAACAAAUAACUCAAUAGAGAGGUGAGUUUUUUUAAUACAGUAGUAGAAGCAACCAUGACCGUUAAUCAUAAAAUAUUUCUCACCUUUGCAGUGUUGAACACUGAGGUUUUGCAGUCAGGAAGAAUGCUGAUGGACCAAGAUGGAAUAUUAUACUUCAUUCCAUUGAAAGUAACACUUGCAUAAGAAUGUGGGUUGAAAUUAGAAAGGAAUGCAGCACAUGAGCCUGACUUUGAUCUGUAUACAUGUGCCUGCAAGAAGUCGAAUGUAGAAAAGUUCCAAAAUGCAAAUCAUUGAAAAGAUUCCUGCAAAUUUUACAGCAAGAUAUAAGAAUUGAACCUCCUGAUAAUUUCCGAGUUUUGUCACUGUGGGAUCCCCAGACACAAGAGCUGGUUCACACAUUUUGAUUGCUUUAUGCAGGUCUCUCAGAUGUCCCCAUUUCGGCUGCCUCAACAGACCUGAGAAAGAUUAUGAUACGUUUAACACCAAAUAGAGGGAAUGGUAAUACUUGGCAUCAAAUAUAUUUGUAUUGCAUCAUCAGAUGCUUGACCAAUGAGAUUGCACAAUGUCUUCCUUGUAGAAGAGGAACAAGAUUUUGGCACCAAAAAGAAGAAAUAGGAAAAGGAGAAGCAACCUGAGUGGGAAUUGUAUUACUACUAAUCUUCUCUUAAUCUUGAAAAGAACCCAAGUAUUUGACCUAAAUAAUUCUCUAGGUGAGCAAUCACAACUUUAUACCCACGCAAGUAAAAAGAUCAUGCAUUUCUUUCUAAAAGCUGGAUGAGAUGAUCCAAAAUCACAUCUUUCUGGAAUUAUCACAAGCAUGCUAUGUGUGCAGAUGAUGAAGUCAACCAUGCCUUUUUCCUCACAUCAAAAGCUCCAAAAGGGGCAGAUCAAUGAGAAGUCAUGAGUUAAUUUAAAACCAAAUCAUUACAAAAUGAAAAUUGUUACAUAUGACACAAUCAUUGAAGAAAAACUGCAUACCGUAUUCAUCAAUUGGGGCAUCAUAGUCAUAGCUUGUCGAAAUAAAAGGACCACCAGCCGUCCUACCGAAGUUUGUUCCUCCAUGGUACUGCAGUUGACGGAAACGUGAAAAUUCUUUUACUUCAACAUGAUGUACAGCGUUCAGUAAUUACUGAAACAACUCAAGUAGAACAUACAAAUUCUUACCAUAUAGUAGUUAACGAAGGAUCCACCCUUCUGUAUAAACCUUGCAACGGCAAAAGCCAAGUCCUCAACAGGUCUGUGAGGAACUGGACCCCCGAAAGCAGUGAACCUAUUGAGAUAGAAUAUAUAAAAUAAAUUCACUAGAUCGAUUGAUUUCUUGUGAAAAUUUAUAUGAAUUCAAAUGUGAAGUAGAGGUUACCAGCCAGUCCAUGCUUCAGUCCACAUAGUAGGUUUAUAAGGCUUGUUUGGUGAGAAAUAAUCACAGUAGAACCCAUUGCAGGCAUUGAUCUGUAAAGCCAAGAUCCAAAAAUAAUAUCACAAUAAGUCAACUUAGCUGGUGUAACAGGGAAUUACAAUUACUCUAAUUGGUGCAGCUGUAACGUAAGUAGAAGAAAGUGUUGUUGAACAGGACAGGGUAAAGGAGGAACAUGAAUUUGGUGUUGUUCCUGAUAUGACAGAACAAUAAAACCGAAAUCUUGAACUUACCACUGGAUCAGGUGCAUCAUCUUGCUUGCACAUGACCCACGGCACACCGGUGUUGAGACCCACUGCCAUUUGAGCAGCCCAGCUUAGGUAGUUCUUGGCUGCAGUUCCGCCAUAGUACUCCACUGGACCAUAUUCGUUUUCAAUCUGCUCAAGUUAGACAGAGCAUGGAAGAGCAGAAAGCGAUUUAGAUGAGAUCUUUGGGAGCUGAUCAAUGACACAUAAAAGCUAACGAAUUGAUGAAAACAAAGAAGGAAAGGAUUCAAUGAUACCUGAGAGAGGAUAAUGGGACCACCCUGUGAUUCAAAUAAUCCUUCAGACUUCAUCAUGGCGACAAUCUUCUCUGUGAACUUCGCCAUGGCCGCCUUUUACAUGAACAGACCAAUUAGCAAUUGCUCGGUUAGAGGAGAUCGAGUAUAAACAUAUAAAGUGAAGUUCCUGUGGAUUCUUACCUUGAAAGGUCCAUUGUCGGUCCUGAAAUUGAUGCCAGGAACAUAUUUUAGCCAGACAGGAAAUCCCCUGUUUUACAAAGACAAGAUGAACAACAGAACAACAUCAUCAGAUUGCAUGAUUAGGCUUUUGAUUCCACAUAGAAGAAUUAAUCGAAGACCUCGUACCCAAAGUUCCAUUCGGCACAAACAUAAGGACCAAUCCGGAGAUGAACAUAGAGGCCGGCCUGCUUCACCAGCUUGAUGAAGCGAACCAGGUCGUAAUUACCACCAAAAUAAUACUGCCAAAGAUCAAGAAAAGCAACAAAUUGAGGCACACUGUGGGAAGGGGCAGUAGCCUUGGACGAGAGGGCUGGGAAAGUUUGGGUGAUCUCCGAACCUGACCAGGGGACGGCUCGUGGCCGUUCCAGAACACAUAGGUCUGGAUAACAUCCAAGCCGCCAUCUUUAGCCUUCUGGAUAAGAUCCGGCCACAUCUGGAGACGAUCCAAUCGACAAAGUUCAGAUUUUGGCACAGUAGAAUCACAGUGUACGAACAGCUCACCAGAAAGGCCACAUUUUCCACAGAGUUGGAAAUCUUACCUCCGGGGUGCUCCUGGGGUAGUGAAUGGAACCGGAGAUUAGAAUCCUCCUCUGCCCAUUGAUGAUGAUAGCCUUGUGGUCGUAUGAAACGGAGGCAUCGACCGGAGAGGAAAGCCACGGCGGCGACACCACCACCAACGUCACCGCCAGUAGCAGCAGCGUCGACAGUCUGCGGCCGCACCCAAGCGUCAUAGGCUCGAGGCCCUUGGUGGCCGGUCGGUCUUAGUUUCAAAG